UUCUGAUCUCUGACCCCUCACUUCCAUCUCCAGAGUUCACUGUCAUCUCCAAGCCAAAGGGAGCCAACCUUGGAAGCUCCCUGCUCUGACCUUUUGCUGGCUGAAGGCCGAAUGCUAAGACUGACCUCAAGAUGAGGCAGCAGUCUGUAUGCUGAUCUCUGCUCCAGUGUCAAUGCACAGGCCUCUCCAGGAAUGAGAGUCUACAUUUACAACUUGAUGACACCUGACGCCUAGAGAGCAAAGCUCAAGGUUAUCAUGUGGCAUCAUGGACAAGCUGCAAUGCCAGUUCUCCCUGGUUGACUACAGUGGCUCCAUGUUCUUCCUGGUCAUCUCUGUGUUGAGCUCUACUUACAACAUUCCCCAGUUCCAGCCCCAGGAAGGAAACAGUUUUCUAUGUGGCUAAUAUGGGCUCCCUACCUCUCUGUCAUCAGACAGAAUUGAGUCCACCAA
rnacentral:lncRNA from 1 species